rnacentral:rRNA from 1 species
UUGAACGCUGGCGGCAUGCCUUACACAUGCCAGUCGCACGGUAACGGGCCUUCGGGUGCCGCCGAGUGGCGAACGGGUGAGUAAUACAUCGGAACGUGCCCGAUCGUGGGGGAUAACGAGGCGAAAGCUUUGCUAAUACCGCAUACGAUCUACGGAUGAAAGCAGGGGACCGCAAGGCCUUGCGCGGACGGAGCGGCCGAUGGCAGAUUAGGUAGUUGGUGGGAUAAAAGCUUACCAAGCCGACGAUCUGUAGCUGGUCUGAGAGGAUGAUCAGCCACACUGGGACUGAGACACGGCCCAGACUCCUACGGGAGGCAGCAGUGGGGAAUUUUGGACAAUGGGCGCAAGCCUGAUCCAGCCAUGCCGCGUGCAGGAUGAAGGCCUUCGGGUUGUAAACUGCUUUUGUACGGAACGAAAAGCCUUCUUUUAAUACAGGAGGGUCAUGACGGUACCGUAAGAAUAAGCACCGGCUAACUACGUG